rnacentral:rRNA from 1 species
AACGUAGGAGACAAACGUUAUCCGGAGUUACUGGGCGUAAAGCGCACGUAGGCGGCUUUGUAAGUUAGAGGUGAAAGCCCGGAGCUCAACUCCGGAAUUGCCUUUAAGACUGCAUCGCUAGAAUUGUGGAGAGGUAAGUGGAAUUCCGAGUGUAGAGGUGAAAUUCGUAGAUAUUCGGAAGAACACCAGUGGCGAAGGCGACUUACUGGACACAUAUUGACGCUGAGGUGCGAAAGCGUGGGGAGCAAACAGG